CCGAUGAUAGCUCAGUUGGCAGAGCGGGCGGCUGUAGACCGCCAGGUCCUGAGUUCAAUUCUCAGUCGUCGGA